rnacentral:rRNA from 1 species
AGCCUGAGAUGUGAUGCCGAGCCGAUUGUGGUGAAGUGGAUGAUCCUAUGCUGCCGAGAAAAGCCUCUAGUGAGUGUUGUGGCGGCCCGUACCCUAAACCGACUCAGGUGGUCAGGUAGAGAAUACCAAGGCGAUCGGGUGAACUGUGGUUAAGGAACUCGGCAAAUUGCCCCCGUAACUUCGGGAGAAGGGGGACCUCUGCUGGUGAUGGGCUUUACGUUCUGAGCUGGCGGGGGUCGCAGUGGCCAGGGGGAAGCGACUGUUUACUAAAAACACAGGUCCGUGCGAAGUCGAAGACGAUGUAUACGGGCUGACGCCUGCCCGGUGCCGGAACGUUAAGGGGACCGCUUAGCCAGCUUCGGUUGGCGAAGGUGAGAACUUAAGCGCCGGUAAACGGCGGUGGUAACUAUAACCAUCCUAAGGUAGCGAAAUUCCUUGUCGGGUAAGUUCCGACCUGCACGAAUGGCGUAACGACUUCCCCGCUGUCUCAACCACAGACCCGGCGAAAUUGCACUACGAGUAAAGAUGCUCGUUUCGCGCAGCAGGACGGAAAGACCCCGGGACCUUCACUACAGCUUGACAUUGGCGUUUGGAACGUCUUGUGUAGGAUAGGUGGGAGACUAGGAAGCUGUCACGCUAGUGAUGGUGGAGUCAUUGGUGAAAUACCACUCUGGUCGUUUUGAACGUCUAACUCUGGUCCGUGAUCCGGAUCGGGGACAGUGUCUGGUGGGUAGUUUAACUGGGGCGGUUGCCUCCUAAAGAGUAACGGAGGCGCCCAAAGGUUCCCUCAGCCUGGUUGGCAAUCAGGUGUUGAGUGUAAGUGCACAAGGGAGCUUGACUGUGAGACUGACAGGUCGAGCAGGAGCGAAAGCUGGGACUAGUGAUCCGGCAUCGGCGUGUGGAAGCGGUGUCGCUCAACGGCUAAAAGGUACCCCGGGGAUAACAGGCUGAUCUUCCCCAAGAGUCCAUAUCGACGGGAUGGUUUGGCACCUCGAUGUCGGCUCGUCGCAUCCUGGGGCUGGAGUAGUCCCAAGGGUUGGGCUGUUCGCCCAUUUAAAGCGGUACGCGAGCUGGGUUUAGAACGUCGCGAGACAGUUCGGUCCCUAUCCGCUGCGCGCGCAGGAGACUUGAAGGGGGCUGUCCCUAGUACGAGAGGACCGGGACGGACGAACCUCUGGUGUGCCAGUUGUACCGCCAGGUGCACGGCUGGUUGGCUACGUUCGGAAGGGAUAACCGCUGAAAGCAUCUAAGCGGGAAGCUCGCCUUGAGAUGAGGUCUCCCACCCCGUGAGGGGGUAAGGCUCCCGGUAGAUCACCGGGUUGAUAGGCCGGAGGUGGAAGCACGGUAACGUGUGGAGCUGACCGGUACUAAUAGGCCGAGGACUUGACC